GAUGAACGCUAGCGGGAGGCCUAAUACAUGCAAGUCGAACGGUAACAGGUAGCAAUACGCUGACGAGUGGCGCACGGGUGCGUAACGCGUACACAAUCUGCCUUAUACUGGGGCAUAGCCUUUGGAAACGAAGAAUAAUUCCCCAUAAUAUAUAGAAGAGGCAUCUCUUUCAUAUUAAAGCUCAGGCGGUAUAAGAUGAGUGUGCGUCCGAUUAGGUAGUUGGUGAGGUAACGGCUCACCAAGCCAACGAUCGGUAGCUGGUCUGAGAGAAUGAUCAGCCACACUGGGACUGAGACACGGCCCAGACUCCUACGGGAGGCAGCAGUGGGGAAUAUUGGACAAUGGGCGCAAGCCUGAUCCAGCAAUGCCGCGUGUGUGAAGAAGGCCUGCGGGUUGUAAAGCACUUUCAGUGGGGAAGAACAGAUUCGGGUCAAUACCCCGGAGCCCUGACGUUACCCACAGAAGAGGCACCGGCUAACUCCGUG
rnacentral:rRNA from 1 species